CACACCCAGUAGGUUUGAGAGCAUUCUUAUAAUAUUUGUAACGAAACUCUACUGGUUUAAUACAUUUGAGCUUUAAACUUUGAAAUCUUUCUUGUGUUUGUGUGUUCUUGGUUUGCAUAUACACUUGGUUUCCGCACUCGUGUGUGUGUAACAACAAGGAAGUAGGUUUAUCUUGAUCCUCCGAGGGGACCUACAAAAACAAAUAACAGUAGGCCCUUAAUGUGCUGAUAUAAUGUUUUAGCAUCCAUCUUGAAGGUUGUAGUAUCCUAUAUUCAAGCAACAAGGCAAACUAGCGCUGGGAAGUUUGAUAAAUAUGGAAACGAAUCUCUAUUACUCAAUGAGCGUGCUAACUUCUGUAAGAUUCUAAAAGUCAAUACAUCUGAGGGUUAUUCCGGAGAAGCAAUGAAGCCAAAUCAUAAAUAUCUUGUCCAUCAACUACUCAACAUAUAAUCCUUUGGACAUUGCAAAUUUAUGGCACAGUGCAUAUCAUAAGGACUUUCUAGAAGCUGCGGAAGAUCUAUAUACAAUUCAAGGUUCAAAUGAUCUUUCAGGCCUAGCUCCUGCAGUUGUUCAGCUAAACUUUUUUGCUGAUGUCCUCAUAACUUACUGAUUGUCCAGCUCCUUCAAAUCAACGGUUCUUAGACGACAGUCAUAUUGAAGAUUUACAGUUGUUGCUGUAUAGUAAGAAUGAAAAUCACAUGUCAGCAAGGAACGUUGUUAAGAAUCUAUGUGACAAACUGAAUGUAUGUGUCACAGGGAUCUGAAAAUACCUGAAAUUUGUAGAAAACAAGGUAACACUCUUUCUUGUUCAUACAUUUUGACAAAAAUUGUGUUGAGACAUUCCAACUUGUCCCAUUGA
rnacentral:lncRNA from 1 species